rnacentral:rRNA from 1 species
GAAAGAUUCAUCGCCCCUAGACGGGCCCGCGUAGGAUUAGGUAGUUGGUGAGGUAACGGCUCACCAAGCCUACGAUCCUUAGCUGAUCUGAGAGGAUGAUCAGCCACACUGGGACUGAGACACGGCCCAGACUCCUACGGGAGGCAGCAGUGGGGAAUCUUGGACAAUGGGCGCAAGCCUGAUCCAGCCAUGCCGCGUGAGUGAAGAAGGCCUUCGGGUUGUAAAGCUCUUUUACCAGGGACGAUAAUGACGGUACCUGGAGAAUAAGCCCCGGCAAACUUCGUGCCAGCAGCCGCGGUAAUACGAAGGGGGCUAGCGUUGUUCGGAAUUACUGGGCGUAAAGCGCACGUAGGCGGAUUGUUAAGUCAGAGGUGAAAUCCCGGAGCUCAACUUCGGAACUGCCUUUGAUACUGGCAAUCUCGAGUCCGGAAGAGGUUAGUGGAAUUCCCAGUGUAGAGGUGAAAUUCGUAGAUAUU